rnacentral:lncRNA from 1 species
GUGUUAAUUGUUUGUUUUGUAUGUAUAUGUUAUAGUUGUAGAUAAAAUGCUUGUAGGGCGAAGACACUAAGCAUACACAUUUUAUACUAGUUCACUCAAUUGAGUUAUGUCCAAUCGUCCUUUAAGAUAUCUUAGAAGGUUCUACUAGAUUUUCAAUGAAGUACAUAUGAGUAUUCUUGCCACUCCUUAUUGCACUAGUCAUAC